rnacentral:rRNA from 1 species
CAGUCGCCGCGGGAAUACGAAGGGUGCAAGCGUUAAUCGGAAUUACUGGGCGUAAAGCGUGCGUAGGCGGUGAGUUAAGUCUGCUGUGAAAUCCCCGGGCUUAACCUGGGAACUGCGCUUGUGACUGCACAGCUAGAGUGUGGCAGAGGGGGGUGGAAUUCCACGUGUAGCAGUGAAAUGCGUAGAGAUGUGGAGGAACACCGAUGGCGAAGGCAGCCCCCUGGGCCAAUACUGACGCUCAUGCACGAAAGCGUGGGGAGCAAACAGGAUUAGAUACCCCGGUAGUCCCUGUCUCUUAUAC